UCCCCAGUGGCUCAACUGUAAAAGAAUCUGCCUGCAAUGCAGGAGACUCAGGUUCAAUCCCUGGGUUGGGAA
rnacentral:tRNA from 1 species